ensembl:lncRNA
ACUAACACAGCACUUCACAAACUUUAUUUUGAAUGUGAUAUUUUUCAUGUGAGUCAGCCCACAGUUCCAGUGAAAAUAGAGACUCAGAUCCAGUGGGUCUGACAGGAGGGCUGAGACCUUGCAUUUUGAACAUGCUCAUCCAUGAUGCUAAUAAUUCUGGUCUGUGAAUUGCACUUUGAGUAACAAGUGAUCCCUGAUCCUCUUGGCAUAUGGGAAUCACCUGACCAGCUUAUUAAAACUCCGGAUCUUGGGGCCAGAGGCUGGUCCAGGUUUUGUGGGGCUUGAGGUCAUUCCAUGUAGAGGAUACUCUUUUAAAAAUAUAAAAUGAAUAAUAAGAAAUUGCUGGAGCUCUUCUCAGGACCCUGGAAGGGACUGUGCCUAGAAGCAACAACAAGUCUGCGAAAGUGGUUGUAACUGGUGCUGAGUUGUUUGAGGAUCAAGAUAAUUACAGUAUAAAGGAUAAGAGAGAAUAUAAUAUCCUGGCAUCCAGUGCCUAUUCAGCUAAUCCCCAGCCCUUGACAGAUGUUCAAACACAGUAUUUUUAAAAGCUGACUUUUAAAAAAACAGGGCGAGUCACUUAUUAGAUAUAAACAACAUGAUAAGAAAUUCAAAGUCUGACAUCCACGAGGAAACGUCCAUGCUGAGAAGCAGGAGAGACAAGCUUCCUAGGUGGCUCAGUGGUAAAAAACAAAAAAAAAAGAAAAAAAAGUCUGCCUGCCUAUGCAGAAGCCGCAGGAGAUGCAGGUUUGAUCCCUGGGUCAGGAAAAUCGCCUGGAGAAGCAAAUGGCAACCCACUCCAGUAUUCUUGCCUGGAAAAUCCCAUGGACAGAAGAAACUGAUGGGCUAAAGUCCGUGGUGUUGCAAACAGUCAGACAUGACUGAGUGACUGAGCAUACAUGCAUAUUCUUCUCAACACUCAACAGAAAUUUCACCUAGAAGGAGCAUCAAAAGAGUGAUGGAGUGAAAAAAUAAAUCAAAGGUGGAAGGAAAGAAAGAAAGCAAGUCACCAAGAAUAUUGUCCGAGAUACUUACAGGUUGGGGAUGACUUUAAGUAAAAGUUUUUAUGUCUCUGAGUUUUUGUUCUUCCCUUUGUAGUUACUGGCAAUAAAAGAGUAAAAAUAAGUAUAGGAUGUAAAAGUACUUUAACUUGCUUAUAGUA